UUCCUUGGUCACAGUCUUAGAGUUAAGAUUUAUUUUUGCUUCAUUUUAACAGAGAACGUGGUAUCUAGAUCACCAUGGAACCGAAGUCAUCACCACCAGGUAUCGGAGAAGGAUCCAGUGCUGUUGCCAACCGAAGAUCUUGGACAUGGGACUCAACUUAGUGUGAUGUUGGAUGAGGAUUUAGUAGACUUCAGUGCUAAUAAUACAAAUAGAUGAUGGAGUCGAUGGUGGAAUCUGUAAGGAAACAAUCACUGGAGCUGGAGGAGGAAAAAAAGGAUUCUGAUUUAAAACAGUCUUUGGAAGCACCACA